rnacentral:rRNA from 1 species
UACGUAGGAGGCGAGCGUUGUCCGGAGUUACUGGGCGUAAAGGGUGCGCAGGCGGUGGCCCGCGUGGGCGGUGAAAGCUCCUGGCUCAACUGGGAGAGGGCCGUCCAGACGGGGUCACUUGAGGCUGGCAGAGGUGGGUGGAAUUCCUGGUGUAGUGGUGAAAUGCGUAGAGAUCAGGAGGAACACCGGUAGCGAAGGCGGCCCACUGGGCCAGCACUGACGCUGGAGGCGCGGAAAGCUCGGGGAGCGAACGGG